CCUACGGGAGGCAGCAGUGGGGAAUAUUGGGCAAUGGAGGAAACUCUGACCCAGCAACGCCGCGUGAAGGAUGAAGGCUUUCGGGUUGUAAACUUCUUUUCUCAGGGACGAAGCAAGUGACGGUACCUUAGGAAUAAGCCUCGGCUAACUACGUGCCAGCAGCCGCGGUAAUACGUAGGAGGCGUGCGUUAUCCGGAUUUACUGGGCGUAAAGGGUGCGUAGGUGGUAUGGCAAGUCAGUUGUGAAACCCCUAGGCUCAACCUUGGGACUACAACUAAAACUGUUGUACUUGAGUGCAGGAGAGGCAGACGGAAUUCCUAGUGUAGCGGUGGAAUGCGUAGAUAUUAGGAGGAACACCAGUGGCGAAGGCGGGUUGCUAGACAGUAACUGACGCUGAGGCACGAAAGCGUGGGGAGCAAACAGGAUUAGAUACCCGAGUAGUC
rnacentral:rRNA from 1 species